UCUCUCUGCUCCUGUGCAGAGUCAGAGCUGCAGGAGGUUUUGCAGAGUCUUUCCUGAGCGGGUUUCUGAAGCUGCCUGGGUGAUGUGAGGAUCCCUCCUGUCCUGAAGAUAAACCCUCUGAAACAGCAGCCACCUUUUCUUGAGGGACAGAGCCUUGGCCACGGCUCCUGCUCCAAGACAGCGCUGUUGAAUCCACAUCUCCAGGAGCAGGAGCAGCCAGCUGCCUUUCUGCAAGAGGUCUUCACAGACUUCCACUAUUUGGCCCAUGAAGGAGGUCUGGAACGCUUCCUUCCCUCCUGUGCCAGUGCAAGGUCAGCUGGGUGCAUAAUUCCUGCACUUGAAGGAAAAAAAUACCAACUAUUUACAGUAAUGUUGUAGGAGUGGCACGAAACUGGAACUCUAUUUACUUUCUCCAGGCCAGGUUUUACUGUAAAUGCCCAAAUAAGCUAUUUAUAUAAACAAUUUCUUUGUAUUUGCUCCGUGCCUGGAUUCACUUCCACCCUGCUGCUGAGAAUUUAGAGCUGAUGAGUAACCUGUGGCAGAGGAGCAACUUUGAUUGCAGAAAACCCCUCUGGAAGGUGAUGCAGGCAGGUGCUUUGUGCAGUGGAUCUCAAGGAAGGUGAGGCACCUCCAGCACUCUUGUUCCUCACAUCUGCAGAAGGAUGUGGUGCCCAGAGCCUGGCAACGCCCCAAAAGAAACCCAUUUUGGGGUGCGUGGUAUUUGAGUAGCUGUGGCAGAGAACAAAGGGGCAGCACCAAGGAAUUGGACUGAGAUUCCUAAUGCUGUACAACAGGCUGCUAUGAGGCAAGGCUUUAAGGAAGCAGACUAACUCAAAAAAAUGUGUUCAAGUUUACUCAGCUCUUCCCAUCCGUCUGAACAUGCCCGAGUCCUCCGUGAGGUUUCAGCUCGGAACCGAGACCUUGGGCUGAGUCAUGAACAAAUGCAACUGCUUUAACACCCAUGAUGAGUCCUGGCAUCAUGCAGUGUUUUACAGGAGUUCCCCCAAGGUGCUUUGACCUCUCUUCCCAUCAGCCUUAACAGGCAAAACCAAUCAAGAACUCAGCUGGUGUCUGUGAGGCCAGGAUCAGUCACCCAGCAAGCCCAGGCUCCUGGGGAGGCGGCUCAGAGGUGUGUCAAUCCGCCAGGUCCAUGGCGCUCCAAACCAGGACCCAGAGCCCUCGGCAGUGGUGACGCGCGUGGAUUUGUUUGGGGUCGUCACUGGUGGAUUUUGGACCAUCUGAGAUAAGCCAACCCUCCCCCUCAGAUGCCAUCCAGGUGGCUGUUGCUGUUUGCAAGGCGAAGGCAGCAGCCCGGCGAUGGAAUGUAACCAAAAGCAGGUAAAGCAAGUGGAGGAAUGCCAGUGGAUUGUGCAGGCACCAGAGCAGGAACUCCCGUGCCAGGCAGCAGACACAGAGACUGGUGAAUACUUUGAAAACCUUUCCGAGUUGUUCCUGCAGCACUGGCCGUGGGAAGCAUUUGGGAGCAGGUUUUGUUCUCAGACCGGAGCCGUGCUGCCGACUCCACGAGUCCUUGACCUCAAUUAGCUCCCUUCGUUAUUUGGAGCCCAGUGGGAGCGAAGUCAACUGUGCUCUCCUUCUUUCUUCCUGUCCUUUCUUGCUCGGUGUAUGAAAGAGCUGAAACUUGGCCAAGGCACGAAUCCCAUCCUGGGUUUUGCCCUGGGGGAUCUGCAGGAGAGGUGGAGGAGCCCUGUGAGCUCUGACACACGGAGAGGAAUCCACCAGGAGAAAUGUCCUGCUGGAUGUGCGGCACGUCUGCUCUGCCUGCUGGAAACCUUGGGAAAAAAGCUUCCCCUGUCUCUCACUUGUCUUAAAAGCGAUGAGGGGCAUUCAGGCACCACGUCCUGGUUCCAUGGAGCCCGCUGGGGAAAAUAACAGAGACACCAGACACAAAAAAAUCUAAAUAAGAGGUGUGAGAAGCACUGAUAUCCACUGUACAAAGCAGUGCAAUGCAAUCUCUCAUCUUUCUACAAGGAAAAUGAAUUUCCAGUUCAAUUUUGCUCAUAGAUUCUGUGUCUGGAGUGUUUAACAAAAAACACCUUCCUGCCCCAGCCCCCUCCUUACUGUGAUGGUUAGUAACAGAUUUAUAUUGUGAUUCAUUUCAGGUUGUCCAACAAAUUUUGGAAUAAAACUGGGCACCAUUAAUUGUCAUUCUCAGAAUAAACCAGCAACACAAUUUAUCAAUAUGGCAAUAACAGUAAUGUUGGUAUUUACCAGUCUUGAAAUACUUGGAUUGGAGAUGGCAGCAUUAUAAUUGAAAAUAAUGGUAAUUAUGUGUCUGCAAACGUGUUUUGUUGCUAUGCUCAAUAUCUUCUUUGAAACCAGAAGUCACCAUAAGCAGCAAUACAGUAAAAAUUCAUUUUCCUAGAGAUCGGUGCC